rnacentral:tRNA from 1 species
ACAAGGAUUGCUGAAUUGUUAAUGUUUUUGACUUAAACUCCAAUGUACAAAUGUUCUUGUGGGUUUGAACCCCAUUCCUGGUA